rnacentral:rRNA from 1 species
CCCCAGUAACGGCGAGUGAAGCGGCAACAGCUCAAAUUUGAAAUCUGGCCCUUACGGGUCCGAGUUGUAAUUUGUAGAGGAUGCUUUUGGCAAGGCGCCGCCCGAGUUCCCUGGAACGGGACGCCACAGAGGGUGAGAGCCCCGUCUGGCUGGCCGCCGAGCCUCUGUAAAGCUCCUUCGACGAGUCGAGUAGUUUGGGAAUGCUGCUCAAAAUGGGAGGUAUAUGUCUUCUAAAGCUAAAUAUUGGCCAGAGACCGAUAGCGCACAAGUAGAGUGAUCGAAAGAUGAAAAGCACCUUGAAAAGAGGGUUAAAUAGUACGUGAAAUUGUUGAAAGGGAAGCGCUUGUGACCAGACUUGGGCGCGGCGGAUCAUCCGGGGUUCUCCCCGGUGCACUUCGCCGCGUCCAGGCCAGCAUCAGUUCGUCGCGGGGGAAAAAGGCUUCGGGAACGUGGCUCCCUCGGGAGUGUUAUAGCCCGUUGCGUAAUACCCUGCGGUGGACUGAGGACCGCGCAUCUGCAAGGAUGCUGGCGUAAUGGUCACCAGCGACCCGUCUUGAAACACGGACCAAGGAGUCGUCUUCGUAUGCGAGUGUUCGGGUGUCAAACCCCUACGCGUAAUGAAAGUGAACGCAGGUGAGAGCUUCGGCGCAUCAUCGACCGAUCCUGAUGUUCUCGGAUGGAUUUGAGUAAGAGCAUACGGGGCCGGACCCGAAAGAAGGUGAACUAUGCCUGUAUAGGGUGAAGCCAGAGGAAACUCUGGUGGAGGCUCGCAGCGGUUCUGACGUGCAAAUCGAUCGUCAAAUAUGGGCAUGGGGGCGAAAGACUAAUCGAACCUUCUAGUAGCUGGUUUCCGCCGAAGUUUCCCUCAGGAUAGCAGUGUUGAACUCAGUUUUAUGAGGUAAAGCGAAUGAUUAGGGACCCGGGGGCGCUAUAUUGCCUUCAUCCAUUCUCAAACUUUAAAUAUGUAAGAAGCCCUUGUUGCUUAAUUGAACGUGGGCAUUCGAAUGUAUCAACACUAGUGGGCCAUUUUUGGUAAGCAGAACUGGCGAUGCGGGAUGAACCGAACGCGAGGUUAAGGUGCCAGAGUAGACGCUCAUCAGACACCACAAAAGGCGUUAGUACAUCUUGACAGCAGGACGGUGGCCAUGGAAGUCGGAAUCCGCUAAGGACUGUGUAACAACUCACCUGCCGAAUGUACUAGCCCUGAAAAUGGAUGGCGCUCAAGCGUCUCACCCAUACCUCGCCCUC